GAUGAACGCUGGCGGCGUGCCUAAUACAUGCAAGUCGAGCGAACGGACGAGAAGCUUGCUUCUCUGAUGUUAGCGGCGGACGGGUGAGUAACACGUGGAUAACCUACCUAUAAGACUGGGAUAACUUCGGGAAACCGUAGCUAAUACCGGAUAAUAUUUUGAACCGCAUGGUUCAAAAGUGAAAGACGGUCUUGCUGUCACUUAUAGAUGGAUCCGCGCUGCAUUAGCUAGUUGGUAAGGCAACGGCUUACCAAGGCAACGAUGCAUAGCCGACCUGAGAGGGUGAUCGGCCACACUGGAACUGAGACACGGUCCAGACUCCUACGGGAGGCAGCAGUAGGGAAUCUUCCGCAAUGGGCGAAAGCCUGACGGAGCAACGCCGCGUGAGUGAUGAAGGUCUUCGGAUCGUAAAACUCUGUUAUUAGGGAAGAACAUAUGUGUAAGUAACUGUGCACAUCUUGACGGUACCUAAUCAGAAAGCCACGGCUAACUACGU
rnacentral:rRNA from 1 species